GUGCACUCGAUUCGGUUCUUGUACGUCACCACCACGUGUUAUUAAUAGAGUGUUAUGCUAUAGCUUUUCAAGCCUGUUGGAGAAAUCAUGGAUUGCAAUUGUGCAAGUCUUUUUAAAAAAAGACAUAUUUUCUGUAUCUUUGCAACAUUUUGGAUUUUACGUGCCGUAGUAGACGAUGCCAUUCUAGUAGUACUUAAGACACCAAUAUUUCAACAAGUGAUACCAAGGAGUGAAAAUAAAAGCAAUUAUUUAUUACUGUGGUAUGCACCACCAUUUUGGGCUCGAAACGAUAUGAUUAAACCUCAGAAAGGAUUGAAAAAUUGUGUAUUCAAAAAUUGUGAAAUAUCAUUUGACAAGAGUUUGAUAAAUAAAAGCGAUGUUUUGUUAUUUCAUCAGGCUGAUCUGAAAACAUAUCCGCCAAUUAGAACUGACAAUCAAAUAUGGAUAUACAUGACGUUAGAGUCUCCAGUACACAUGCGCAAGAUUAAUAGAAACCAAAAGUGGAAUAAUGCAUUCAACUGGACAAUGAGCUAUCGACGAGAUUCGGACAUAUUUACACCCUAUGCAAAAUUGUCUAAAAGAUUUACGCUUCUAAAAAAAAAUUACACCGAUAUAUUUAAAAAGAAAUCAAAGGAUGUGGCUUGGAUUGUUAGUAAUUGUCUUGCACAUUCAAAAAGGAUGAGGUACGUGCGAAUGAUGAAGAAAUAUAUCAAUGUAGACAUAUUUGGAAACUGUGGAAACUCGUGUUCCAGAACGGGUGAUAACUGUAUGAAAGAAUUAAGUAGACACUAUAAAUUCUAUCUUUCAUUCGAAAAUUCUUUGUGUGAAGAUUAUGUAACAGAAAAGGCAUUCAAAUUGUACAAGAACGAUUUCAAUAUAGUUCCUGUAAUCAGGGGAGCUCCUAAUAUUAAGGAUAUUUUACCAUAUGAUACCUAUAUUUCUACCUCGGAUUUCAAUUCUACAAAAUUAUUAGCUCUUUAUCUCAGGGAUGUAGCACUGAAUAAAACCAAGUAUUUAUCAUAUCUUCAAGCUAAAGACAGGUAUACGACGAUCCUCGGCUCGGAUAUAAUAAAAGAUGGAGCAUGCGCAUUGUGUAAAGUAUUGAACAGUGAUAAAAAAAGAAAAGGUACUGUAGAUGUAACCCAAUGGGCGUUGAAGAAAAAAUGCGCCAGUCCUGUUGAUAUAAAUUAAUGAUAAUACACGCUAUCGGAAAUAAAUAUUUAUAAACAAAAUAUGAUUGAAGAAUUUAAGAUAUAAAAAAUAGUUUCUGAUUCAUAUUGUAGUAGACACAGGUCGUCAACGGUAGUAAAAACAAUAUUUGAAGUCGGCCUUUUAUUCAAACUAAUAUGGUACGAUUGGUCGGAUUAUAAGGUUUUGCCUCUUUUCUGUGAAAGGGCCUAUUGAAUUUGUUCUGAUUAUGUGUUUUUGUCUUCCUCCGCCACAUUUAUUUCAGUCUUGUGUGUACUUUUUCGAGAUCAUAGAACAAGAAGAAGUCAAAAUUUUAAAUAUGACUUUGACCUUUGACCUCAAUUUCAUUUUAGUGAACACAUGAUUUCAAAUCAAUAUUGUACCUUAGAUCUCUAUCACUUACCAUUCAUGCUAUACAUUAAUCUAUCACUUUAUACACGAGCAUCACUGCAGAGACAGAUAUUCUCAAAAUGCGCAUCUGGUGCAAGAAAAUUGGUACAGUUAAUUUUAUUAUACAUUAAUCUAUCACUUUAAUAUGUCAAAUACAGGAGGGGAAAUAACUCUCAUACACAGUCUUUGUACCGCUGAUCAUAAGUGGACACAAUAUCCUGAAGAUAUAUCGAGCAAAUAGGUUAAAUACAUUUAUCGCUUUCUUCAGUGAUCGGAUAGAUAACUACUAUAAAUGCCAACAAUUUUUUGGUUAAGCACUGUGAUUUUGAAAGGCACUCAUACACUGUGCGAUAGCAUAUACCAAAUCUAUUAUUACUCCAACUUGGUACAUGAGAUGGCCAUAUGGUUUUUUGCAAAAUACUUAUCUUGAACGUCAUAAAAAUUAUUAUCACGAAUUAAUACGCUGGUUAUUUUGCGGGUGAACCCCCUGAGAUUUUCACGCUUAUAUUUAUAGUACGAUUGGUUUGUGCAAUUUGCAUUAGACAUACGGUUUGUAGAAACUGGGAUUUGCAAGUUAGGAAAUAAUGAGGAACACUCCGAAGUUGUAAAUAAAACAGGCGAGCUUUAACAUGUAUAUUCAAAUAGUAGCUGUAUAUUAUACAUUUUUCUUUUGAAACUAUCCAACACUACUUUCAACUGACUUGUGCUAGAAUUUACUUACUUUAAAGAAAGGUGUUUUAACAUCACCAUUAUUCUAUUCAGUCAAUUAUUUUAAUUAAGAAAGAAACAAACAAAAAAUUGGAAGGUCGACCAGCCAGAAAUUUGGGGUUCACGUAUUGCUUUUCUUUAAAAAAAAAAAUAAGACUUGUGUUGAUGUUUGGGAGGAAUAAAUUCCUAAAAACUGUAACAUUGAGUCUUGUGUACUAAAGCCUUCGUCAUAGGAAAAAAGUGGUUGACGGAACUCAUUUUAUGUUUUUAAAAACACAAAAAAAACCAGUUCGACUAGUAUUAUAGGAUCAUAUAGUCUUUACACGUCAAGAGAAAAAUUAUUUGACAUCUAACUAAAUGAGUAUAAUUAUAAGUUAUCUGAAAUAAUUAGUAUCUAUUCAUGAUUUCACUGUUUUGUUUUGUGUUGUUGUACUCUUUUAGCCGUACUUAUUAUAUAUAUACCUUAAUAAACUUUUGGUUGACCUCUUCCACACUCCACAAGAGCAAUUUCUCAUCUUUAUCGUUUUCUAUGUAUGACCUGCACAUAUAUAUGCAUAAAAAUACACAUCAUGAGGUUCUAAAAAUUGUUUUCCAUUUUUUUCUAUAAAUUAUAUCAGUCCUUGAAUUUGAUUCAUCCAGAUCAAACAAGCCUUUUUAAAAGCUACUACUUGUAUAAACAUUUAUUUUUAGAUUGACAAAUAUUUGUUGUAUAUUUCGUAAAUAGGUCAGUAUUGCUACACACGAUUUUCUAGCAGCAGUGUGUUAACAAUACAUGGAUAGUUUAUUCAUGUAUUUGCUCUUGAUGUUUUUCUUAAUACAAGAGUACACCACAAUCAAACUAAAAGAAACUCAUUUAAGUACUGUUAAUUGCAACACACAAGUCUUGUCAACCAAUGAAGAAGAAACCGUGCAACUCGUUCUGAAGAGAAAUGGAAGCCGACAUUUCCCCGAUAUAAAUGGUUGCUAUUAUGCAAUUCAACUAAACAGUUGGGUUCGAUAUGAUAAGCUGGUAGUUACCGUUUCCGUGGAUAUUCCAAAAGACUGCCCAUAUGCUAUAGAAAUAUACCCAGGGGAUCCAACCAUCAAUAGACGUAUAAAG